AAGUUUUUAAUUUCCAUCCUCCAAGUCCCUCUGGAAUAUAGGCCCUCCCAAUAAUUUCUCGCUCAUCAGACUCACUUCUGAUCCAAGGAUUUGGGAGGAAAGAUGAGCAAGGUUUAUGAAGGAUAUGAAAGGCAGUACUGUGAGCUGUCUGUAAAUUUGUCAAGAAAAUGCAAUUCUGCUGUUUCUCUUCCCGAUGGAGGUAUUGUAAAGUUUUUCAAUUUCACAUUUUAGAGCGAAUUUGUUGAAUAAUUAUAUAAUUUUCUGUGGUAUAAUAGUUAGUUUUAUGACUUUUA